rnacentral:rRNA from 1 species
UACAGGGGGUGCAAACGUUGCUCGGAAUCAUUGGGCGUAAAGCGCACGUAGGCGGUUUGUUAUGUCGGAUGUGAAAGCCCUUGGCUCAACUGAGGAAGUGCAUCCGAAACUGGCAAGCUAGAGUACUAAAGAGGGUCGCGGAAUUCCCGGUGUAGAGGUGAAAUUCGUAGAUAUCGGGAGGAACACCAGUGGCGAAGGCGGCUCACUGGACAGGUCCUGACACUGAGACGCGAAAGCGUGGGUAGCAAACAGG